rnacentral:rRNA from 1 species
CCUACGGGUGACUGCAGUGAGGAAUAUUGGUCAAUGGGCGCGAGCCUGAACCAGCCAAGUAGCGUGAAGGAUGACUGCCCUACGGGUUGUAAACUUCUUUUAUAAAGGAAUAAAGUGAGGCACGUGUGCCUUUUUGUAUGUACUUUAUGAAUAAGGAUCGGCUAACUCCGUGCCAGCAGCCGCGGUAAUACGGAGGAUCCGAGCGUUAUCCGGAUUUAUUGGGUUUAAAGGGAGCGUAGAUGGGUUGUUAAGUCAGUUGUGAAAGUUUGCGGCUCAACCGUAAAAUUGCAAUUGAUACUGGCAGCCUUGAGUACAGUUGGGGUAGGCGGAAUGCGUGGUGUAGCGGUGGAAUGCUUAGAUAUCACGAAGAACUCCGAUUGCGAAGGCAGCUUAGUAAACUGCCACUGACAUUGAUGCUCGAAAGUGUGGGUAUCAAACAGGAUUAGAGACCGCAGUAGUC